UACGAAGGGGGCUAGCGUUGCUCGGAAUUACUGGGCGUAAAGCGCGCGCAGGCGGCUAUCCAAGUCAGUGGUGAAAGCCCGGAGCUCAACUCCGGAACUGCCAUUGAAACUGUUUAGCUUGAGGACGAGAGAGGUGAGUGGAAUUCCCAGUGUAGAGGUGAAAUUCGUAGAUAUUGGGAAGAACACCGGUGGCGAAGGCGGCUCACUGGCUCGUAUCUGACGCUCAGGCGCGACAGCGUGGGGAUCGAAACAGG
rnacentral:rRNA from 1 species